CAAUAGCGUAUAUUAAAGUUGUUGCAGUUAGAACGCUCGUAGUCGGAUUUCGGGGCGGGCCGACCGGUCUGCCGAUGGGUAUGCACUGGUCGGCACGUCCUUCCUUCCGGAGACCGUCCCUACUCUUAACUGAGCGGGGGCGGGAGACGGGACUUUUACUUUGAAAAAAUCAGAGUGUUUCAAGCAGGCAGCUCGCUCUUGCAUGGAUUAGCAUGGGAUAAUGAAAUAGGACUUUGGUGCUAUUUUGUUGGUUUCGAACACCGAAGUAAUGAUGAGAAGGGACAGUCAGGGGCACUCGUAUUCCGCCGAGAGAGGUGAAAUUCUCAGACCAGCGGAAGACGAACCACUGCGAAAGCAUUUGCCAGGGAUGUUUUCACUGA
rnacentral:rRNA from 1 species